CGAUCAGCUGCAUGAUGGGGUCGCGGUGUUUUGGCGAGUGCUGCGGCUUCUUAGGCCAGUGAUGUCACAUUCAUCGGUCCCAUGGUCUAAGGCUACUUUCACAUUUCCAUUUUUUGCUGGAUCCGGCAGGGAUCAUCAAAAACUCUUCCGUUACGGACGAUACAACCGUCUG